GCAGCCGCCGCGGUAAUACGGAGGGUGCAAGCGUUAAUCGGAAUUACUGGGCGUAAAGCGCACGCAGGCGGUCUGACAAGUCAGAUGUGAAAUCCCCGGGCUUAACCUGGGAACUGCAUUUGAAACUGUCAGGCUGGAGUCUUGUAGAGGGGGGUGGAAUUCCAGGUGUAGCGGUGAAAUGCGUAGAGAUCUGGAGGAAUACCGGUGGCGAAGGCGGCCCCCUGGACAAAGACUGACGCUCAGGUGCGAAAGCGUGGGGAGCAAACAGGAUUAGAUACCCCGGUAGUCCCUGUCUCUUAUAA
rnacentral:rRNA from 1 species